rnacentral:rRNA from 1 species
AAACCAGGACCUCAAGUGGUCAGGAGGAUUAUUGGGCCUAAAGCAUCCGUAGCCUGUUCUGUAAGUUUUCGGUUAAAUCCAUUAGCUCAACUAAUGGGCCGCCGAAAAUACUGUAGAACUAGGGAGUGGGAGAGGUAGACGGUAUUCGGUAGGAAGGGGUAAAAUCCUUUGAUCUAUUGAGGACCACCUGUGGCGAAGGCGGUCUACCAGAACACGUUCGACGGUGAGGGAUGAAAGCUGGGGGAGCAAACCGGAUUAGAAACCCGGGUAGUCC